GCGCCCGUAGCUCAGUUGGAUAGAGCAACUGCCUUCUAAGCAGUAGGUCGCGCGUUCGAUUCGCGCCGGGCGCGCCA
rnacentral:tRNA from 1 species